rnacentral:rRNA from 1 species
GAUGAACGCUGGCGGCGUGCCUAAUACAUGCAAGUCGAGCGAACGGACGAGAAGCUUGCUUCUCUGAUGUUAGCGGCGGACGGGUGAGUAACACGUGGAUAACCUACCUAUAAGACUGGGAUAAAUGCGGGAAACCGUAGCCAAUACCGGCAAAUAUCUUGAACCGCAUGGUUCAAAAGUGAAAGACGGUCUUGCUGUCACUUAUAGAUGGACCCGUGCUGCAUUAGCUAGUUGGUAAGGUAACGGCUUACCAAGGCAACGAUGCAUAGCCGACCUGAGAGGGUGAUCGGCCACACUGGAACUGAGACACGGUCCAGACUCCUACGGGAGGCAGCAGUAGGGAAUCUUCCGCAAUGGGCGAAAGCCUGACGGAGCAACGCCGCGUGAGUGAUGAAGGUCUUCGGAUCGUAAAACUCUGUUAUUAGGGAAAAAAAUAUGUGGACGUAACUGUGCAGAUCUUGACGGUACCUAAACAGAAAGCCACGGCUAACUACGUG